ACAACAGACAUACUUGAAUAGUACUUCACGUUAGGAUACAGUUUGCCCACGCUUUUAAAAAUAAUUAGGAAAUCAAAGAUUGUCCAUAUGUUUUUAAAUAGGUUAGUCUAUAUAGAUGUUUAACAAUAAAUGUAAUUCACUUCUGUUCAUAGCGGUAUGACAAAACAUUCACGAAUACCAGAGGUUAUGUAUAGUUUAUUCCGGGAGGUUUUGAAUAGCUUCUAAUUAUGAAUCCACUUGUGUUCUUUGGUUUUGCCUUUACCGUAUCCGUGCUCACUAACGCCAACUUCCCCUCAUCAUAUCCUUGAGGCGGCAGCUGCACCAGCUGUAAGCGGUUAGCUACUGUAGCCAAUUGAAAAGCAUUGGCCGCCUGUGAUUGCAGUGCUUUCUCCUAUUGAUUGCGCGCGGAGUAAUGUGGACGAGCGUGGCACUUGUGUCUUGCAGUCAUUCUUACUAUUGGAGCCGAGCUGGGCUAGCGGUACCCGGUAACGUUGUCCGGUACACAUAGAAGGAGGGAAGCUUUUUGAUUCAACGUCAGAAAACAUUUGAUCCAAAUCGCCAAAGGCCCAAUCGGAGAAGCUUGUUUUCUUAAUCAGAUCGGCUUGUUUCUCCACCACCAUCUUUGGGACGGAUAAGUCUCUCUCUCUCUCCCUCUCUCUCUUCCUUCGCCUCUCGCAGUUGCAGAAAAUUGCUCCGCAGCCCUGUACGCAAUUGGUGCACUGUGAGCGACCAUCAUAAAUCUGGAGGAUUUUCAGCGUCCGCGGGGUUGUUUAUGAAUUUGCUUAGGCAGGCUCUUUUAAGGAGUUGAGUACCCAGGUUGGAGAAAUUGAUAAAAUGGCACAAAAAUGUGUUUUAUUUUUAUUGUGGCUUUCGGGCAGAUCACUCGCGGGAUUUCCCAAUCAGAUUAAUAUAGGUGGUCUGUUCAUGCGGUCCACUGUGCAGGAGCACAGUGCGUUUAGGUUCGCUGUUCAGCUCUACAACACCAACCAGAACACUACGGAGAAACCCUUCCAUCUCAACUACAACGUAGACAACCUCGAGUCGUCCAACAGCUUCUCGGUCACCCAUGCAUUACACUCCCAGUCAGCUCUUGGCCAUUCAGACGACGCGCCAACAGUACCCCAUAAUCACUGAAUCAACUGGAGGAGAAUGAUUUCUGGGCAGAGAAGACAGUUGUGAAAUUAACCAGAGCCAGGGACGGGUCCAGGUCCAGGGACGGAGCCAGGGACGGAGCCAGGGACGGGUCCAGGGACGGGUCCAGGGACGGGUCCAGGUCCAGGGACGGAGCCAGGG